GGCCCAUUUAGACAGUUGACAAGAAGGUGUGACGAUACUUAACAUAGGGAAAUAGAUUCAAUGUGUGUAAUGAUCCAGCCACUCCCAGUCUCUACUCAAACCCAAGUUAAUGGUGUCUAGUUCUCAUAUUGUAAGAACAACAAACUUUCCGUCCUCAAGUCUUAAUGGCAUGGUUCAAUAGACUUUUGACCUCUAAGGAAUGUUGCUUACCCCACCCACCUCUUUUUAUAGAGAGACAUAGUUCAGUUUUGAACAGCUGACUUUGUGCUUCACGGGGCAGCACUGAUUUCGUUUACUGAGGUGCUGGAUGGCUGCUUUGGGUGUCUUCAGAGGGGACUUCCAGUUAGAAAUGAAACUACUGUGAAUCAAAGAAGGCAUGAAGGUUCAGAAAAUACUCAUCUUUCUGUUUCAUUUGUAUGCUGUAGUUUCAGGUCUUGAAGAGGUAACAGGGCGAUUUUUCGAAGAUUGUAUCCUUCCUUGCUCUUUUGCACGUGCUGAAGGUGAAGUAAUUUACUGGAAGAAAGGGAACAAAAAUGUGCACAGCUACUACUAUGGGAAGGAUCAGCUAGAACGUCAAGACUCUGAAUACAAGGGGAGAACAUCCCUUUUUCAUGAGCAAAUUCCCAAUGGAAAUGCCUCCUUAAAACUGAGUAAACUGAGCCUGAGUGAUGACGGCUCCUACAGCUGCUAUGUGGGGACAAAUCAAGAUAAAACAGACGUGAAAAUCAGGCUGCACGUAACAGUUUCCCCAUCUUAUGCAAUGGAAUAUGAAAAACGAGACACAGAGAGACUGUUGAAAUGUCUUGCCUUUCAUAUUUAUCCUGAGCCAAACAUAACAUGGUCAAAUGAAAGUACAUCUGUGCAAACCACAAAAAUGGAAGUAACCCAAGAUGGCCCUCUCUAUUCAGUUAGAAGUGAGAAGAACAUUGCAAACAAAGUUUCUUCUUACCAGUGUCAUGUUCAAUUUCACAACCAAAAUUGGACUGCUGAAUGGAAAGUGGAAGAUCAGAUUUUUAAAAAGGAAGGAGAUACCGUUUCAAUUCCAUGUGAAUUUAUGGCUCAAGGAUCUCCAUAUGCUAAAGACUUCACAGUUACUUGGACAAUAAUCAAAAAUGCAUCUACCUUGGUUCUGGCGUCCUCCGCUAACUCAUCACAACCCCCUGAACAGUUUAAAACUCGAUUCUCUUGGGAGAAAAUCAAUGAACAGGACUACUCAGUAAUCAUAAGGGAUCUUACUCUGGCAGACAGUGGAGAAUACAUGUGCAAUAUUUCAACACCACACUAUACACAACUCACUGUAAGAAUUUUGCAAGUUGAAAUGCAAAUGUGUCACGGGAAGGGAUUUCCAUUUCCCAGCCAUCUGUACUACCAGAAAAAUCCUCACAUUACUACUGGAUAACUAUAGUGCUGCUGAUCCUCAUCAUUGCCUUUGUUGUGUGCUGUGCUGUGAAGCGGAGAAGACAGGUGUGCAGAAGAUCGGGAGGGAGCCUAUAAGAGAGCAAAGAUUAAAUGGCUGCAUAUGGACAGUUUACAGUGUAAUGAAAGAGAAGAUUUUGCAACAUAUGCUCAGAUUCUUGAGCAGUAUUUUUAUGCACAUGCUAUUUCCUAACAUUGUUUGUGUAAAACCACUUUUGUGACGCUUAAAAGUUUUCCUCAAGAACCUGAUGAGCUGGAAUAUAAGGACAUAAAAGAGAUUCUAAGAAGCAUUUUGAGCCUCUCAAUGUUUUUAAUAAAAGGAUAUAAGUUUCACUUCAGAAACCAGAUAGAAGGGGAAAGUAUCUCUGAAUUUUUGGCAACCCUGAAAAAAACUGUACACUACUCAUUGUUUUGGUAAUGUUCUGAAGGAGCUCUCAGAUCAGUCUGAAUUAAGAGAGGUUGUUGGAUGUUGUGUGUCACAAGGAACUGCCACUAGAUGAAGACUGCUCUAUUUGAAUCCACACAAAAAACUGCACCAAAAUUUGAAAAUAAAUUGGCCUCAUCAUGCCAGGCUGGAAAAAUGGCCUCAGCAGUGGAUUAAAGAAACACCACCACCAGUUCAAACCUCUCACAGGAGCCAAACAGAACAGAGGGAACCCUAUUUCUGCUGUUUAGUGACACCACACCUGGAGGAGCAGUAUUUCCUUAAGCUGCAGAGCAAGACGUGUUUGAAGAAGGGACAUGCCAAUGCGCACGCCACAGUGCACCAGACCCAAAAGGAAGCCACCAGUGUCUACAUGUAGGAGCUACCAUACUAGUUAGGUGCCUGUCAGCUUCGAAUGAAAGGAUGCAUGAGCUAUACCAUUUCCCAGAACUGUAUGUGGUGGGAAAGGACAGACAUAUUAUCCCCUGUAUUAUGUUAACGUAAAGGUAAAUGAUGUGAUAUACAGGAGUGGCCAUGUCUGUGAUCUCUGGGGGUGGGAGGAUGGUUAGCAAAAAAAAAAUUCCUGGGUUAAGAGCAAGAGAAACUAAUGUGCUUUGAUAGCUUUACAAUUAGGGGCAGAAAGGAGUGUUAGGCAGCCUCCCUGUCACUGUAGUUUAGAUAGAUAUCUGUUCACCAUUAGAAUUAAUAGUGAGCGAAGGAAAUGCCCCCUCCCAACCCCUCCAUUGAUGGGCAUAAACUGGCUAUACAGAUUUAAAUUGGAUUGGAGUGUGAUGCAUCACAUGCCAGAAAGAGUGAGGGAACUGAAAAAUACAAAGCUGUGGGCUCAGAAAGAGGCAUAACCGUGAGGCUGGUUGUGACAAGGCCUACGUUUCUGAAGGUUAGACAUGUGCCAUAUGCCCUGUGCAGGAGCCUGUGGAGAAACAAACAGUGAAAAGCCCCCAACAUAAACUUCCCAGUUUUUUCUGCCAAGGGCAAUGAUGGUACAAAAUUACAGGGGCGGGAUGAAGUGGGGGGGGAAAAGCGUGGUAAAGAAGAUAUUGGACCUAACGGCACAUUUACUCGAGAUAAUGAAGAGGUACAUUGACUAACUGUUACCGGAUUAAAAACUCAGUAUGAUUACAGAAUGUGGCCCCUGAAGCAAGAAGAGAUUGUUUGGGUUUUUGUUGGCUGGAGGAGGAGGAAUUGGUGCUGGAAGAUGGUGGUCAAGAGAGGAAAAGUGCUCCUGCUGGCACGAGGACAAAGUUUGGAUGGCCCUUUCUUUCCCUGACAGGUACCACUGGCCACAGCCUGCAGCAAAAUGGCAGACCCUGCUGUAAGGUUAAACUUGUAAUUUGGUUUUUAUGGUUGUGUUUAUUAAUUAAGGAAUUUACAGGGGAGGACUGUGGUGUUUUGAGGACUGUGUUGGAAUUGCAAAUUAUUGCUUUAAGAGCAGGGUGAGGGUGAUUCUCUUGUCCUGCCUUACAGUAUAAGGGGGCUCUGUAGCAAAGCAUGAGAAUGGCUUGGAGUCACUUUGAAAAGAGCUAGCUUAAAGCAAGGUGGGGAGAGUUGGGCCUCCCUGCUUUAGGGAACAGCCUGUUUUCCUUCCUGUCAGUGUUUGGGUUUUUGUGUUGUCGUUCAGGGUUCUACAAAACACUGUUAUGCUGCAACCUUUCAGCAACAGUAUCUGUGUGUUUUAGCUACUUCUGUGUGCGUAGGCUGUGCACAUAACAGAAAUCAGGCUUGGAUUUCUGAGCAAGAAAACUGUCGUCUGCUGUUUGCUCCUACUAUAUUCAGGGAAACAGGACGUUGGACCACACUGCUUAGAAUGCAGAAUGAUAGCACAUAAACUGCAAA